UACAGAGGUCUCAAGCGUUGUUCGGAUUCAUUGGGCGUAAAGGGUGCGUAGGCGGCGCGGUAAGUCGGAUGUGAAAUCUCGGGGCUUAACUCCGAAACUGCAUUCGAUACUGCCGUGCUUGAGGACUGGAGAGGAGACUGGGAAUUUACGGUGUAGCGGUGAAAUGCGUAGAUAAUCGUAAGGAAGACCAGUGGCGAAGGCGGG
rnacentral:rRNA from 1 species